rnacentral:rRNA from 1 species
GACGAACGCUGGCGGCGUGCCUAAUACAUGCAAGUAGAACGCACAGUUUAUACCGUAGCUUGCUACACCAUAGACUGUGAGUUGCGAACGGGUGAGUAACGCGUAGGUAACCUGCCUGGUAGCGGGGGAUAACUAUUGGAAACGAUAGCUAAUACCGCAUAAUAUUGAUUAUUGCAUGAUAAUUAAUUGAAAGGUGCAAUUGCACCACUACCAGAUGGACCUGCGUUGUAUUAGCUAGUAGGUGAGGUAACGGCUCACCUAGGCGACGAUACAUAGCCGACCUGAGAGGGUGAUCAGCCACACUGGGACUGAGACACGGCCCAGACUCCUACAGGAGGCAGCAGUAGGGAAUCGUCGGCAAUGGACGAAAGUCUGACCGAGCAACGCCGCGUGAGUGAAGAGGGUUUUCGGAUCGUAAAGCUCUGUUGUAAGGGAAGAACGGGUGUGAGAGUGGAAAGUUCACACUGUGACGGUAUCUUACCAGAAAGGGACGGCUAACUACGUG